rnacentral:rRNA from 1 species
AGUUUCUUUGGUUAGUACGUACAAGGAUAACUUUGUGAAUGAUAAAGCUAAUACUUGAGACGUUCGGCGGAGUAUUAUACUUCGCUGCCGCUCUACGCAAGUGGAGCGAGAAAUGACAUUCUUCUGUGAGAAAGGAUGCCACGACAAUUGCAGAAAGCAACGCUUUUUACAAGUAACCAAUGGGAAUUUCUGAUCUAUCAUAUUUGUUGGUAGUAUCGAGGACUACCAAGAUUAUAACGGAUAACGAGGAAUUGGGGUUCGACAUCGGAGAGGGAGCUUUACAGAUGGCUACCACUUCUAAGGAAGGCAGCAGGCGCGUAAAUUACCCACUUUCGACAUGAAGAGGUAGUGACGACAAUUAACUCUGGAGGCCCUUUAUGGGUUUCCCGAAGGAAUGAUUAAGAAUUAAAUUCUCUUAAGAAAUCAAUUGGAGGGCAAGUCUGGUGCCAGCAGCCGCGGUAAUUCCAGCUCCAAUAGUGUAUAUUAAAGUUGCUGUGAUUAAAACGCUCGUAGUUUGAAUUAUAAGACACUAGAAUGGGCAGAAGCUUUUCGAAGUGGAGCUCUAUUCGCUAAGGUGUUUAGGUGAUACUUACUUCGGUUAGUGUCAUUACUUUGAAAAAAAUAGGGUGUUUAAAGCAAAUCUUAUGUUAAUGAAUAAUGAAGCAUGGGACAAUAUUGAAGGAGAUCCUUUAUGGAUUUCGAGGAUAAGGAUUAAGAGGAACAAUUGGGGUGAUUCAGAAAAUAACGGGAGAGGUAAAAUUCCAUGAUCGCUAUAAGAUGCACGAGAGCGAAAGCAUUUCACUCAAUUGCGUUCAUUAAUCAAGAACGAAAGUUAGGGGAUCGAAGACGAUUAGAUACCGUCGUAGUCCUAACUAUAAACGAUGUCAACCAAGGAUUGGAUUAGUUUUUGAGUGACUAAGAGUUAAUAGCAUUGCUAUUGACUCGAAGGAACUCGCUUUCACCUUAUUCAGAACUUAAAGAGAAAUCUUGAGUUUAUGGACUUCAGGGGGAGUAUGGUCACAAGGCUGAAACUUAAAGGAAUUGACGGAAGGGCACACCAGGAGUGGAGCCUGCGGCUUAAUUUGACUCAACACGGGAAAACUUACCAAGACCGAACAGUAUUAGGAAUGACAGAUUAAGGGUUCUUUCAUGAUUUAUUGGGUAGUGGUGCAUGGCCGUUCUUAGUUGGUGGAGUGAUUUGUCAGGUUAAUUCCGGUAACGAACGAGACUGAAGCCUAUUAAUUAGUUUCCUGCCUAUAAGACAGGAAUGCCGCAAGGUGGGUGCAUUUGCAUCACUUCUUAAAGGGACUAAUAUCAAUUGUUUCUCGGUUAAUCUGUGAUACCGGUUCGCCGGUGCCUCUUUAAUCGGAAAAAAAGAUAAUGGAAGCAUUCAGCAAUAACAGGUCUGUGAUGCCCUUAGACAUCUUGGGCUGCACGCGCGCUACAAUGGAGAUACUAGCGAGCAUUCCGUCGCGAUGCUUAUUUAAUUGGCUUUGUCAGUUAGGUGAGAUUAUUGCGACAAUACCAAAACUGAAAUAGUUUAGGAAAACUCGAAAGAUCGUACAUGACAGGGAUAAAUGAUUGGAAUUAUUUGUUUUGAACGAGGAAUUCCUUGUAAUAUCGAGUCAUUAGCUCGAGAUGAAUACGUCCCUGCCCUUUGUACACACCGCCCGUCGCUCCUACCGAUUGGAUAUGGAGGUGAAAUUCUAGGACUCUGACUUCGGUUGGGAAAAUGGAUUUAAAUCUCUUUAUCUAGAGGAAGGAGAAGUCGUAACAAGGUUUCCGUAGGUGAACCUGCGGAAGGAU